UACGUAGGGGGCAAGCGUUGUCCGGAAUCACUGGGCGUAAAGCGCGCGCAGGCGGUCAUCUACGUCUGGGGUGAAAGCCCGGAGCUCAACUUCGGGAUUGCCUUGGAUACGGGAUGACUUGAGGAUCGGAGAGGCAAGGGGAAUUCCACGUGUAGCGGUGAAAUGCGUAGAGAUGUGGAGGAACACCUGUGGCGAAGGCGCCUUGCUGGCCGAUUUCUGACGCUGAGGCGCGAAAGCGUGGGGAGCAAACAGG
rnacentral:rRNA from 1 species